rnacentral:rRNA from 1 species
UACGUAGGGGGCUAGCGUUGUCCGGAUUUAUUGGGCGUAAAGAGCGUGUAGGCGGCCAGGUAGGUCUGCUGUGAAAACUCGAGGCUCAACCUCGAGACGCCGGUGGAAACCGUAAAGCUAGAGUCCGGAAGAGGAGAGUGGAAUUCCCGGUGUAGCGGUGAAAUGCGUAGAGAUCGGGAGGAACACCAGAGGCGGAGGCGGCGACCUGGAUAGGUACUGACACUCAACUACGAAAGCGUGGGGAGCAAACAGGG